CGGUGUAGCUCAGGGGGAGAGCGUUUCCUUGGUAAGGAAGAGGCCACGGGUUCAAAUCCCGUCAUUGG
rnacentral:tRNA from 1 species